rnacentral:rRNA from 1 species
GACGAACGCUGGCGGCGCGCUUAACACAUGCAAGUCGAACGGAAAGGCCUGCUUUCCCUUGUGGAUUGCGGGUACUCGAGUGGCGAACGGGUGAGUAACACGUGAGUGAUCUGCCCCCAACUUGGGUAUAAGCCUGGGAAACUGGGUCUAAUUCCCGAUAGGACUGCAGGGUGGUGCCUGUGGUGGAAGACGAUUUUCUAGUGGUUGGGGAUGAGCUCGCGGCCUAUCAGCUUGUUGGUGGGGUAAUGGCCUACCAAGGCGGCGACGGGUAGCCGGCCUGAGAGGGUGGACGGCCACAUUGCGACUGAGAUACGGCCCAGACUCCUACGGGAGGCAGCAGUGGGGAAUAUUACACAAUGGGCGGAAGCCUGAUGCAGCGACGCCGCGUGGGGGAUGACGGCCUUCGGGUUGUAAACUCCUUUCGACCGCGAGGAAGCCACCUGGUUGGAAGGGUGGUGACGGUAGUGGUAGAAGAAGCACCGGCUAACUACGUG